GAUAGCUACUGAAAUCCCAAGACUUUCAUAAAACCUGAGUCAGGGGAGAGCCUAAAGGAUGGAGAAGCUAUACCUCAUUGGAUCAAGAACACCAGGGAAAUCAGAACUCAAUGAUCCGUUCCAUAGUUUUGGUACCAGUUCCGGCCCUUCAGGUCCUGAGAACUGAUGUGGGCAUCAACAGAGAAGCCAGCUUC